rnacentral:rRNA from 1 species
UAGGGAAUCUUCCGCAAUGGACGCAAGUCUGACGGAGCAACGCCGCGUGAGUGAAGAAGGAUUUCGGUUCGUAAAACUCUGUUGUUAGAGAAGAACAGCGCAUAGAGUAACUGUUAUGCGUGUGACGGUAUCUAACCAGAAAGCCACGGCUAACUACGUGCCAGCAGCCGCGGUAAUACGUAGGUGGCAAGCGUUGUCCGGAUUUAUUGGGCGUAAAGCGAGCGCACGCGGUCAAUUAAGUCUGAUGUGAAAGCCCCCGGCUCAACCGGGGAGGGUCAUUGGAAACUGGUUGACUUGAGUGCAGAAGAGGAGAGUGGAAUUCCAUGUGUAGCGGUGAAAUGCGUAGAUAUAUGGAGGAACACCAGUGGCGAAGGCGACUCUCUGGUCUGUAACUGACGCUGAGGCUCGAAAGCGUGGGUAGCAAACAGG